rnacentral:lncRNA from 10 species
CAGCCGUGUAAGAUGUGCCUGCUUCCCCCUCGCCUUCUGGCAUGACUGUAAGUUUGCUGAAGCCUCCCAGCCAUGCAUCCUGUAAAGCCUGUGGAACUAAACAACUUGUGAUAGAGGACAGAAGCCAUAUCAGAAGUCACGGAAUUAAUUAUGUGAGUCUGGGAUCAGUGAGAGAUGAAAAUUGAGAAGAAAGAAAACUGUAAGACUCUGUGACUUGAAAAAUCCAGGAGAGACAGGCAACUGAAUUGCUACAUUGUAUUUUCUCUUAAACCCAAGAAAAUUCCCUGUGUUAGAACAACUUGAAUGAAAAGAAGAAUAAACAGGUGUCCAACAAUAACAUUUCCAAGAUAGGAAGAAAGCGAGGGUUCAAAACGGAGGGAGGCUGAUCCCGGGUGCACUGUGGCAGGUGGCAGUAUAGAUUUUUGUGAAGCAGCAGUGUGCUGUGAUAUGAGUAGCAGAUGAAGAAGGAAGGAAAUGAAGUCACUCAAUUCUUAUAUGGCAUAAUUACUCUUAUAUUUGGAAUCAACAUGUGGAAUUUCUAGAUAGAUGGAGUCUCAAUAUGUUUCCCAGGCUGGUCUGGAACUCCUGGCUUCAAACAAUCUUCCUGCCUCAACCUCCCAAAAUGCUGGAAUAACAGGAGUUGAGCCAUCAUUCCUAGACUCAGAUGUUUCAAAUCUACUAAUUUAUGGAUGUUACUGAUACCACCUUAGCCCAGAUAUUUCCAAUUGCAGGUGUUUUUAUUUGCCUGAAGUCAUUUACUAGCACUGCAGUUAAAGUAAACUUUUUAAAACACAAAAUACAUUGUGCCACAUGCCAACUGAAAAUAUACAUGCAUACCUCAGUUUUUGGGCCUCACUUUAUUGCACUUUACAGAUGUUGUAUUUUUUUUUUGCAAAUUGAAAGUUUUUGGCAAUCCUGCAUUGAAUAAAUCUAUCAGAGCCAUUUUUCCAACAACAUAUGCUCACUUCAUGUCUUUGUGUCACAUUUUGGUAAUUCUUACAAUAUUUUAAACUUUAUCAUUAUUAUUAAAUUUAUUAUGGUGAUCUGUGAUCAGUGAUCUUUGAUGUUAACACUGUAAUUGUUUGGGGGCACCAGGAACUCUGUGUAUAUAUAAUGGCAAACUUAAUCGACACAUGUUGUGUAUGUUCUGACUGUUCCACCAACCAGACUCUGC